rnacentral:misc_RNA from 1 species
UUGAAUUUGGGUUUCCAUAUUCUUACACCCUGUGCACCUUUUGUAGGCCAUUCAUUUGGUCUAUGUUUUAUUUCUAACAACUUUGUAAAUGUGAAUGGUAAUGAAUAAAAUUAUUA